rnacentral:lncRNA from 1 species
UACUCUGAUAAAAUCCCAAACUGAUUCUCAGCUUCUCAGACUCCUUCUUCUCUCCCUACCCCCAGAUCUCUCUCUGCCUCUCACCAGGGCGCAAAGUUGGCCAUGGCAUGGAUUUUCGGUUUCUCCAUCUGUAAACUGGGGAUGCCAAUGCCGAUCUCCCACUCCCAAAUAAGGGCAGGGAGAGCCUCUGUACCCUGGACACUGGCGUCAGAAGAUUCGUCUCUUCCUUCUCUAAACUGCUCUGAAUGAGGCCGAUCAGGACUACUUCCAUGUAUCACUGCAAGGACUUCCCCGUCUGCUUCCUCUUGUCCUGCGUGCCAUGCUGGCUUGGACCGAGUGAGUAGGCUGCCACAAAGCCCCCAGUGAGAGCCCCUCCUGGGCACCCGGCCUGCACACAGGCGCUGGGGUGUCUGUGCUCUGGGAGCACGGGUCAGGGGAGGCUGGAC